UCCUACGGGAGGCAGCAGUGGGGAAUAUUGGACAAUGGGGGCAACCCUGAUCCAGCCAUGCCGCGUGUGUGAAGAAGGCCCUCGGGUUGUAAAGCACUUUCAGCGAGGAAGAACGCCUAGCGGUUAAUACCCGCUAGGAAAGACAUCACUCGCAGAAGAAGCACCGGCUAACUCCGUGCCAGCAGCCGCGGUAAUACGGAGGGUGCAAGCGUUAAUCGGAAUUACUGGGCGUAAAGCGCGCGUAGGUGGCUUGAUAAGCCGGUUGUGAAAGCCCCGGGCUCAACCUGGGAACGGCAUCCGGAACUGUCAAGCUAGAGUGCAGGAGAGGAAGGUAGAAUUCCCGGUGUAGCGGUGAAAUGCGUAGAGAUCGGGAGGAAUACCAGUGGCGAAGGCGGCCUUCUGGACUGACACUGACACUGAGGUGCGAAAGCGUGGGUAGCAAACAGGAUUAGAUACCCUGGUAGUCCACGCCGUAAACGAUGUCGACCAGCCGUUGGGUGCCUAGCGCACUUUGUGGCGAAGUUAUCGCGAUAAGUCGACCGCCUGGGGAGUACGGCCGCAAGGUUAAAACUCAAAUGAAUUGACGG
rnacentral:rRNA from 1 species